rnacentral:rRNA from 1 species
UUAUUGGGCGUAAAGAGCUCGUAGGCGGUUUGUCGCGUCUGGUGUGAAACCUCAAGGGUCAACCUUGAGCUUGCAUCGGGUUCCGGGCAGACUAGAGUGUGGUAGGGGCGCCCCCCGCCCCCCCCGGUAGCGGUGGAAUGCGCAGAUUGGGGGGGGAAAAAAACCAGCGAAGGUUUUUUUCCCCUGGCCCCACCUGACGCUGAGGAGCGAAAGCAUGAGAGAGCGAACAGGAUUAGAUACCCUGGUAGUCCAUGCCGUAAACGUUGGGCACUAGGUGUGGGGCUCAUUCCACGAGUUCCGCGCCGCAGCUAACGCAUUAAGUGCCCCGCCUGGGGAGUACGGCCGCAAGGCUAAAACUCAAAGGAAUUGACGGGGGCCCGCACAAGCGGCGGAGCAUGCGGAUUAAUUCGAUGCAACGCGAAGAACCUUACCAAGGCUUGACAUACACCGGAAUCGGCCAGAGAUGGUCGCGUCUUCGGACUGGUGUACAGGUGGUGCAUGGUUGUCGUCAGCUCGUGUCGUGAGAUGUUGGGUUAAGUCCCGCAACGAGCGCAACCCUCGUCCUAUGUUGCCAGCACGUCAUGGUGGGGACUCAUAGGAGACUCCGGGUCAACUCGGAGGAAGGCGGGGACGCGA